ACAAUAAGAAUCAGCCUUUAUAUAGCCAAAAAAAAUCAAACUGUUGUCCCGAUUUUGCUAUUAUUCUUUACUGUUUUCUCUCUAUGGGACUCCUUGAGUCCGUUUUGCAGGCGAACGUGGGGGAAAACGGCACGCAUGGAGGAGGUCAGUCCCGAGACGUGCGGCGGCUGGGGUCUUGCUGGUGGCUGCUAUGCGGCUAGGGUUUUGAUUUCUGAUUUGGCUGAAAUUUUGUUAAGCUUUGGGCUUGCUGGGCUGUUGGUAUUUUUGGGCUUGAUGUUUGGGUCUUGGGUUUU
rnacentral:lncRNA from 1 species